rnacentral:rRNA from 1 species
AACAGGGGCUUCGGCCCGCUGACGAGUGGCGAACGGGUGAGUAAUACAUAGGAACGUAUCCGUAAUGGGGGACAACAUCGAGAAAUCGAUGCUAAUACCGCAUACGCCUUACGAGGGAAAGCAGGGGAUCUUCGGACCUUGCGUUAUUGGCGCGGCCUAUGUCUGAUUAGCUAGUUGGUAGGGUAAAGGCCUACCAAGGCGACGAUCAGUAGCUGGUCUGAGAGGAUGAUCAGCCACACUGGGACUGAGACACGGCCCAGACUCCUACGGGAGGCAGCAGUGGGGAAUUUUGGACAAUGGGGGCAACCCUGAUCCAGCCAUGCCGCGUGAGUGAAGAAGGCCUUCGGGUUGUAAAGCUCUUUCAGGUGGGAAGAAAGCUCGCGGGAUAAUACCCCGCGGGGAUGACGGUACCACCAGAAGAAGCACCGGCUAACUACGUGCCAGC